AGUAUGGUCAAUGUUAUGCAACACAAAAAAAAAUACGAAAAAAGUUUAGAAUUGGUAUCAAAUGGAUGAUUGCCGAACUUAAUAAUUUCAAGGAAAAUAGAAUUGUUAUUUUAUUAUCGAAGUAGCUCAUAGGAAAAAGCCUUCAGAUUUUAGUUUAUGUGUAACCAGGUAUUUUGUCUGCACAUGCGGACAUAAUUAUCUUACGGAUAUUUAUUUUUUUAUGUUUUAUUAAUCCAAAAAUCGGCAUAAUAAAACUCUAAUUGGUGAAUAUGUUGAAGAAAAAAAAUUACGGUGAAUUCUUUGUUCCUCAAACUUUAUAACAGUUAUGUUGAAAUUUUAGCCAAAUUAUUGAAAGGUAGAUCUCACUUUUUUCUUCUAAAUUCUCCAUGGAGGAAUGAAUUUAUAAGAAAAAAAAUUUCUAUGCAAUUUUGAUGAGGAACA
rnacentral:lncRNA from 1 species